AAAAGCAUUAAGAGUUAAAAAUUACACCAAUUAAAUCAAGACUUAUUACUAUCCCCUUUAUUAUUUUUGGGAGAGAUCAUUCCAGUUCUGUUUUUCCAUUAAUUGUUCCCAUUCCUCCUAAUUUUAUCAUCAUCUCAACCUCCUCCAUGUCUUUAUUUCCCCUCUCUCCAGUUUUACGUAUGUUCCCAUCUUACCGGGAAAGCUGCUGGAGGUGCUCAGCACUCCGACGCCCUUCAUCAUUGGAGUCAACUCACACUUCCGCUCGGAGACCCAGGAGCUGCUCGACGUAAUCAUUGCAGACCUGGACGGAGGGACGGUCACCAUUCCGGAGUGUGUCCACAUAUCCCUGCUGCCCGAGCCGCUUCUUCAUCACACACAGACCGUCAUCUCCAUGGUAACACAUUUUACCUGUUAGGUUGGGUGUAUGCCAGUGUUAAUAACUGGCAGCGAUCAAGAUGGUUAAUAUGAAGUUUUUAAAGAUAAUUUGACAAACCGCAGACUGAGGAAGUGUUGCAGGUUUAAUGGAUGGAUUGGGGCUAUAAAAACACAUGAAAUAAAUAUUUAUUGUAAUGAGGGUUUGUGCCAGCAGUAAUUAAAUGAUUCUCGGCACACAUUACUCAACCGUGCGUACUUCCUUGUUUAAAUUACACUCACUGUACUGUGAGUAAGAUUAUAGUGCUGAUACUGAUUUUACUGACAGCUUCUAUAGUGGUUUAAAGUACCGUAGUUGAAAUUAUAGGGCAAUAUUUUAUAUUGUUUUAGUUCACAAGAAAAAAAGAGAAUCCAUAAAACACUUCACUACUAAUUUCUAAAAGGGAAUUGUUACAGAUUGUCCAAACCAGGAAUAGCAUGAUAAAGUUUUUUGUGUGGUGAUGCACACUGGCUAUCAGCUGAUAUCAGUGAAUGUUUUAUAAUUUUUUAAAAAUGUGUUAAAUUAUAUAAUGUAUUUUUUUUAAUAUACCGAUCAAAAAAAUUCUGUGGACUUUUAAUUAAAAAAUCAGUAGAACAACAAUUACAACACCAACCAACCAACAAAUAAAAAAAUAUGUAUUUAUAAAAAAUAAAAAAAAUAAAUAAUAAUAAUUACAAAAAUAGUCAAACAAGGAAAAAAAACAAUUUGUCGUAUGGUUAAUUCAGUUACCUUUUUUCUUUGUAUAUUAUUAGUUGUAUUACUAAUGUAAUUUUUCCCUUCUAACACACCUUUAUUCAGGUCUUUGUACAAAUAAACCUACAUCUGAGUGGCUGGUUUGACGCCUUGAUCAGAUAUCAGUUCUGAAAUGUAUAUAUGUAUGUAUUAUAUGAAUUACUGUAUAUAUAAUAUGUGUGAAUGAACAUAAAGUCUGCUUUUAUUUGAUCAAAAACACUGUAAAAACAGUAAUAAUGUAAACUAUUAUUACAAUUUCAGCCACAUGAUCUUUCAGAAAUCAUUCUAAUAUGAUUUGCUGCUCAAGAAACAUUUUUUUUUUUGGGCAUCAGUGUUGAUAACAAAUCAUAUUCAAUGUCUAUUCAUCAAAAGAAUCCUAAAAAAAAAGUUACAGCUUCCAUAAAAAUAAAGCAGAAAAAAACUGUUUCCAACAUUAAUAGUAAUAAAUACUAUUAAUA
rnacentral:lncRNA from 1 species